rnacentral:lncRNA from 1 species
GAAGGAAUAAUUUGAAAAUCAUUCCUUGAUAGAGAAUUUACAGUUCCAAUCCAGUGUAGAUACAGUUGUAGCUUGUACUAUGCGCUGGAAAUGUUGGAGUAGUGGUUGUACAAUUGUACUAUUUGUCCUUCAUUGUCCUUUCUAUGAGGAUAAGCAUCCAAAGCCUUCUAAUUCUUCAGAAUAUCCGUUGCUCCAGUCUUCUAAUCCCUUUUGCAUAU